UUAAGUGACUAAGCGUACAAGGUGGAUGCCUUGGCAAUCAGAGGCGACGAAGGACGUGCUAAUCUGCGAAAAGCUUGGAUGAGUCGAUAAGAGGCGUUUAAUCCAAGAUGUCCGAAUGGGGAAACCCAGUAGAUGAAGAAUCUACUAUCACUUACUGAAUCCAUAGGUAAGUGAGGCAAACCGGGAGAACUGAAACAUCUAAGUACCCCGAGGAAAAGAAAUCAACCGAGAUUUCGUUAGUAGCGGCGAGCGAACGCGAAGGAGCCUGUUAGUGAUAAUGACAGAGACAGAGGAACAAGCUGGGAAGCUUGGCGAUACAGGGUGAUAGCCCCGUACUCGAAGUCCAGGUCAUGGUACUAAGCUAACGACAAGUAGGGCGGGACACGUGAUAUCCUGUUUGAAGAUGGGGGGACCAUCCUCCAAGGCUAAAUACUCCUGAUUGACCGAUAGUGAACCAGUACUGUGAAGGAAAGGCGAAAAGAACCCCGGUGAGGGGAGUGAAAUAGAACCUGAAACCUUGUACGUACAAGCAGUGGGAGCCCUUUAAGGGUGACUGCGUACCUUUUGUAUAAUGGGUCAGCGACUUAUAUUUUGUAGCGAGGUUAACCGAAUAGGGGAGCCGAAGGGAAACCGAGUCUUAACUGGGCGUCUAGUUGCAAGGUAUAGACCCGAAACCCGGUGAUCUAGCCAUGGGCAGGUUGAAGGUUGGGUAACACUAACUGGAGGACCGAACCGACUAAUGUUGAAAAAUUAGCGGAUGACUUGUGGCUGGGGGUGAAAGGCCAAUCAAACCGGGAGAUAGCUGGUUCUCCCCGAAAUCUAUUUAGGUAGAGCCUUGAGCGGACACCUUCGGGGGUAGAGCACUGUUUCGGCUAGGGGUCCAUCCCGGAUUACCAACCCGAUGCAAACUACGAAUACCGAAGAGUGAUACUCAGGAGACACACGGCGGGUGCUAACGUCCGUCGUGGAGAGGGAAACAACCCAGACCGCCAGCUAAGGUCCCAAAGUCUAUAUUAAGUGGGAAACGAAGUGGGAAGGCUUAGACAGCUAGGAUGUUGGCUUAGAAGCAGCCAUCAUUUAAAGAAAGCGUAAUAGCUCACUAGUCGAGUCGGCCUGCGCGGAAGAUGUAACGGGGCUCAAAUAUAGCACCGAAGCUGCGGCAUCAGUAGCAAUACUGUUGGGUAGGGGAGCGUUCUGUAAGCGGAUGAAGGUGAAUCGAGAGGUUUGCUGGACGUAUCAGAAGUGCGAAUGCUGACAUAAGUAACGAUAAAACGGGUGAAAAACCCGUUCGCCGGAAGACCAAGGGUUCCUGUCCAACGUUAAUCGGGGCAGGGUGAGUCGGCCCCUAAGGCGAGGCUGAAAAGCGUAGUCGAUGGGAAACGGGUUAAUAUUCCCGUACUUGGAUAAACUGCGAUGUGGGGACGGAGCAGGUUAGGUUAUCGCACUGUUGGAUAUGUGCGUUUAAGUUGGUAGGUGUGAAGUUUAGGCAAAUCCGGACUUCUUUAACACUGAGAGAUGAUGACGAGGCUCUACGGAGCUGAAGUAACCGAUACCACACUUCCAGGAAAAGCCACUAAGCUUCAGGUUUAUCUAAACCGUACUGAAAACCGACACAGGUGGUCAGGUAGAGAAUACUCAGGCGCUUGAGAGAACUCGGGUGAAGGAACUAGGCAAAAUAGCACCGUAACUUCGGGAGAAGGUGCGCCGGCGUAGAUUGUAGUCCCUUGCGGGCGAAGGUUGAACCGGUCGAAGAUACCAGCUGGCUGCAACUGUUUAUUAAAAACACAGCACUCUGCAAACACGAAAGUGGACGUAUAGGGUGUGAUGCCUGCCCGGUGCUGGAAGGUUAAUUGAUGGUGUAAUCGAAAGAGAAGCUCCUGAUCGAAGCCCCAGUAAACGGCGGCCGUAACUAUAACGGUCCUAAGGUAGCGAAAUUCCUUGUCGGGUAAGUUCCGAC
rnacentral:rRNA from 1 species